rnacentral:rRNA from 1 species
CUCCAUGAAGCUGGAUUCGCUAGUAAUCGCGCAUCAGCCACGGCGCGGUGAAUACUUCCCGGGCCUUGUACACACCGCCCGUCAAGCCAUGGAAGCCGGGAGUGCCUGAAGUGCGUGAGCGCAAGCAGCGCCCUAAGGUAAAACCGGUGACUGGGGCUAAGUCGUAACAAGGUAGC